rnacentral:rRNA from 1 species
GACGAACCGUGCGAACGUUAUUCGGAAUCAUUGGGCGUAAAGGGCGCGUAGGCGGUCGUGACAAGUCACUUGUGAAAUCUCCGGGCUUAACUCGGAACGGUCAAGUGAUACUGUCGGACUAGAGUACAGAAGGGGCAACUGGAAUUCUCGGUGUAGCGGUGAAAUGCGUAGAUAUCGAGAGGAACACCUGCGGCGAAGGCGGGUUGCUGGGCUGAUACUGACGCUGAGGCGCAAAAGCCAGGGGAGCGAACGGG